GCCCAGUCCUGCUGGGCAUCGUUAGCAGCCUGCACCCACACACUAAUUGGGGUGGGAUGGGGCUGGGAGUGCCCUGAGAAGGGCUGGGGAGCUGCUGGGGACAGUCCUGAGAGAGGAAGGUGGUGUGGCAGCAGGGGGCUUCUGCAGGAAGGUCACCAGCAGUGACGAAUGGCUCCGUCCCACACCGUGAGCAGCUUUUUAUUGCAGUGGACUGUCUGCAGGCUGAAAUUCCUCGGUGCCACGUAACCAUGCGGAGAAAGGGACCCGUGGGGAGCUGUUGUUCUUCCAUGGUGGAAGUUGGGCUGGGAAGCACGGCCAAUUAAAAGAGAUUAAUAUAUAACCUGUACAAACCGAGGAAACAGACAGCUAAUUAUUAAUGGAUAAAUGCAGAACAGAGUGCGUGGUGUUAGCGGGACAGGGAGCAAAGCACCGUGCUGAUCCGAGGAGGUGCGAUGCCCUCAGGACUGGGAGCUUCCAUGUGUUGUCCUGGCUGAUCCCUGGUGCUAAAUCCCCCAGCUGAGAUGGCAUCGCCUUUCUGGAGCACCCAGGUUUGUUCCAAUCAAAAAUCUUCCUGCUCACAACCCUGGGAUUGGGACCCCCAUCCUAGUUAAAUAGUGCCUGGCUUAACGGGCUGCUUUGGGGAAGGGCGGUACCCCUGCGGCUGCUCUGGGAGCUGCUUUCUGGAAGUCACAGCUGCCUGCAAGUUUUAAUGGGGGCAGAUGUAAAUGAUGCAGAAAAAAUUAACUGGCUCAGGUAUGCUGUCUCUGGAGCUCCUUGCGGGGCUGUAAAACUCGCCGUGUUGCUCCUUUGUCUCCGGCGGUGGCUCUGAUGCCACGAUUCUGCUGUUGGGGAGGAAGGAUGGCUGCACAGCCCUGCUGCUGGCUGGGAUGAGGACAAAUAUGUGCAAUUCCCCGUUUUGACAAGAAUUUCCUAUGUGGGAAAUAACUCACGGUGCAGUUCCUCUUCUUGCACGUCAGGCACAAAGGAGGUGAACGUGUGGCGAGGCGCUGUCAGGGCAGAUGCCUUUACCAUGGGGCUUAUUUCCACUCUCUUCUCCCCCCCAAAAAAAGGCAGGAACAGCUUGCUUGGAUGGAUGUGGAAGGCAGCUCGCAUAAAUCCCAUCCUUUUUCCCCAUCGUGAUAUUGGGGCUGUCGCUGCGCUUGUUGGAGGACGAGGCUGUUCAGCGUGCAGCACAGCAGUGCUCCGGCAGUCGGGGCUGCAUAAAUAACGGCGAGUAGACGGAGUUGCUCAUUAAGUACGAACUCGGGGGUGAAGUAUGGAAGUCUUAGGCACUGAACCCUUCUUCUGUGGACUUGGAAGAGGGGGGCGUGGAGCUGUCAGGAUGAUUUUUAUCUGAAGUGAGCUAGAAAGCAUCCCCAGCACAGCCCUGGCAGGCUGGUUAUAACAUCCUUUCGGUGCCUACCCUGAGCAUUGGUGCUUUGCCAGCUGUCGUUGAGCGCUCAUUACUUCCCCUACCUGCGUCCCUCCUUGCCUGGAUGUUGUGGAAGACCGGCCCAUUGCAUUGCGUCCCCGGGUGUGUUUUUCUUCUGCCUCUUUCCUGCCUCCUUAGAAACCAGAGUUAUUAACGUGGAGACAGGCUGCGUGGUGUCUGGAACGAAAAGGCCGUGGUGGGACCCUAGGUGCUGUAGAAAUGCUGUAAUUUGGGCAGUCCUUUGUCUCCUGUGCGAGCCCUUAAGUGACCAAACAAGGCUGUUGUUGCUGCUCUGCUGGCUCUGGGUCUGGUUUUGUGCUUACUGGCCGGCAACGUCCAGCUGGAGGGGCUCCGGAGCAAUUCCUCCUCCUGGAUCCCAGUGGGCGUUUGCUCUGGGAUGGCUCUGAUGGCUCAGUGUGUGUCAGCUGGACCAUGGCUCGGAGACCUUCAGGAUGUGAACCACGCAUGGCCCGUCCUCUCUCAUCACCCCUGGCUGUGCCCUGCCGGGAUGAAACAUCCCGGCCGCAUCCUGCGCGUGGCAUGAUUCACACACUCCUAGCACAUAAAUCUAAGAAAGUGGAUUUGGGGAAGAACUUGCCUGCCUCCAGUGCAACUUGCCUUUAAAUUAUUUAACAAGCUUCUUAAGCAAC